AUUGAACGCUGGCGGCAUGCCUUACACAUGCAAGUCGAACGGCAGCACGGGUGCUUGCACCUGGUGGCGAGUGGUGAACGGGUGAGUAAUACAUCGGAACAUGUCCUGUAGUGGGGGAUAGCCCGGCGAAAGCCGGAUUAAUACCGCAUACGAUCUACGGAUGAAAGGGGGGGACCUUCGGGCCUCGCGCUAUAGGGUUGGCCGAUGGCUGAUUAGCUAGUUGGUGGGGUAAAGGCCUACCAAGGCGCCGAUCAGUAUCUGGUCUGAGAGGACGACCAGCGACACUGGGACUGAGACACGGCCCAGACUCCUACGGGAGGCAGCAGUGGGGAAUUUUGGACAAUGGGCGAAAGCCUGAUCCAGCAAUGCCGCGUGUGUGAAGAAGGCCUUCGGGUUGUAAAGCACUUUUGUCCGGAAAGAAAUCCUUGGCCCUAAUACGGUCGGGGGAUGACGGUACCGGGAGAAUAAGCACCGGCUAACUACGUG
rnacentral:rRNA from 1 species